rnacentral:rRNA from 1 species
UACGUAGGGUGCAGGCGUUAAUCGGAAUUACUGGGCGUAAAGCGUGCGCAGGCGGUUUGCUAAGACAGGUGUGGAAAUCCCCAGGCUCAACCUGGGAACUGCGUCCGAUACUGGAUGGCUUGAAUUGGGAGAGGGAUGCAAGAAUUCCAGGUGUAGCGGUGAAAUGCGUAAGAUAUCUGGAGGAAUACCGGUGGCGAAGGCGGCAUCCUGGACCGACAUUGACGCUGAUGAGC